UCUCUGACAAAUCCUGAUUUCCGUGCCCAAAGUUUGACCGCCCGUAUUAUUUGAAAAAAUUAUGAAAAAAAUUAAAAAGGCAAGUCACGCAUAAAAUAUUAAUCAUGUUUUAUCAUCUAACAACAAUGAAAAUACAAAUUAUAAAAAAAAAUCAUAUAAGACGGACAGUCAAAGUUGGACACGGAAACCCAGGGUUUGUCUCUUU
rfam:Oryza nivara chromosome 5, whole genome shotgun sequence.